rnacentral:lncRNA from 1 species
GCUUGGAGAUGGAUAUGUCUUGUAUCGAUUUUUUUCCUCAUUUUCAUUCACUAACAUUGGUCAAGGAGUAAAUCUUAGUAUCCAUUUCGGAUUCUUCUGUAGUUUGUUUCCAUUCAAAUUCGUGAAAGCAGUCUGGAGAAACAAGAUGUGGCUGGAUCAAGUUAAUUUUCAUAUCAGAUGGUUCUGUUAGAGGUGCAGGUUGUGCCACC